rnacentral:lncRNA from 1 species
CCAUCCCCCUUCCCUCUCUUCUCUCUCUCUCCACACUUCCCCUUUCCUCACUCUCCAACUCACAGGUUCACAGAUUUGAAAUCCGAGAGGGCGACGAGUCGUUGCUUUGGAUUUAUGUUGGCGCAGGGCAAAAAUUGGCUGAUGUACGUGCAAGGGUCGAGAGGGAUGGAGUUGAAAUAAGUAUUGAGCUUCAAGACUUGAUUGCAAGCGUUUCUCUUGACUGAAAAAUGCAGGCAAAUAAGCUUUUUCUCUUUAAGUCCCCUCAAUCUUUUUUGGUAUUGCAAUUUUGAUUCCUCCACUUUUAAUUAUUCUCUCCACUUAUAAUUAUUCUCUCCGUACACGAAAAAACUUUCUAAGAUGGAAUGACACGAGUUUUAAGAAAAAGAUUGCUGAUUGUACUAAGAAUAAAGAAAAAAUUAUUGAGUGUAUUGAGAGUGAUAAAAAUAUGUUAUAGUAAUUAAUAUUGAGAG